AUGACCAUGCCCAUGAAUCUCAAACAAAGAUGCACCUGCUAUUAUUUACAGAAUGUGUACUGUGAGAAAUUGUACUGUUUA